rnacentral:rRNA from 1 species
UACGUAGGGUGCGAGCGUUGUCCGGAAUUAUUGGGCGUAAAGAGCUUGUAGGUGGUUUGUCGCGUCUGCUGUGAAAAUCCGAGGCUCAACCUCGGACUUGCAGUGGGUACGGGCAGACUAGAGUUCGGUAGGGGAGUCUGGAAUUCCUGGUGUAGCGGUGAAAUGCGCAGAUAUCAGGAGGAACACCGGUGGCGAAGGCGGGACUCUGGGCCGAAUACUGACGUGAGGAGCGAAAGCGUGGGGAGCAAACAGG